GAAACUUUGUUCACAAUCAACUUUAAAGUGUCUCAGCAAUUUGGAUCAUUUUGUUGCCUUUUAAAAACUCACAAAAGAGCCAUUUAAAUUACCGUUCACUACAAAGUGGAGUGACCAUCCAAGUUCGCUAGUCAAAAUUAAUUGGCAAUUAAUUGAAAGUUGUCCAAGUUCUGGUAACUUUGCAAGAACGGAAUUUGGCCCACAUGUUGUAAAGAGCUAAAGAAAGCAAAACCCGAACAUCUCAAGGUCUUUCUCUCGUCGAAGAAGAAAUUGCAUUCUGCAAAAGUCCUCGAGGCAAUUGCUAAUGUGGCCUGCAACUUUUGGCCCCAGUGGGGAAAACUUUAUUCCGCGAGCAUUACGUAAAAGGGAGCGAGUUAAUAAUUAAAUGCAUAAGCCUGGGCGCGUUAUAAUCCGCAAACAUUAACACUGCGUCAUCAUCAGGAGUGGGCUGCGGAAAAGUGUGCGAAAAUACGAGGAAAACUCUUCUCAUCUGGGUGGCAAGCAGAAGCUGAAGCUGAAGCUUUUAAUUGAAUGCGUGACUUGUUGAAACUUUUUGUGAUUUUGCCUGAAACGAGGUGACGAUUUGUGGGUGGUAAGCUGCUUUGCUGACAGUUUUUGGCCUGAUUUGGGUGGCCUGCGUAUAAACCGAUUAAAUGAGGCAUCAAAUGUGCUUUGUGGCCAAGAGGAGACGAGCUUUUAAUGAAAAUAAGCUGAUACCGUAGCUCCUCUCGCGAUUAAAUUAAUUGCUUUAAUUGUGUCGAUUAAAAGUUAAUUGCAUAAUUUCAAGCCAGGGUGAGUUUCCGGCGAGCAAAAACCAUUGAAAAUCUGUGGGUAAACUUGAAAAGUGUUUUUUCCUUUCCAUUUUGUUUGCAUUCAUACUUAUAAUCAAUCAAUAAGUGUCGCAAACUUGCUGCUAUCAAUUCGAAAUGCGGCAGCGUAAUCAAUUAUCUGCCACGACAAAGUGGGGACAACUAUCGAAUGAAGUUUUCCCCUUAACGAGAAAAUGAAAAAGUGCCUGCGAUUCUCUGCCUCCGUCUCACUGAU